AUACGGAGGAUCCGAGCGUUAUCCGGAUUUAUUGGGUUUAAAGGGAGCGUAGGUGGAUUGUUAAGUCAGUUGUGAAAGUUUGCGGCUCAACCGUAAAAUUGCAGUUGAAACUGGCAGUCUUGAGUACAGUAGAGGUGGGCGGAAUUCGUGGUGUAGCGGUGAAAUGCUUAGAUAUCACGAAGAACUCCGAUUGCGAAGGCAGCUCACUAGACUGUUACUGACACUGAUGCUCGAAAGUGUGGGUAUCAAACAGGAUUAGAUACCCUGGUAGUCCACACAGUAAACGAUGAAUACUCGCUGUUUGCGAUAUACAGUAAGCGGCCAAGCGAAAGCAUUAAGUAUUCCACCUGGGGAGUACGCCGGCAACGGUGAAACUCAAAUGAAUUGACGG
rnacentral:rRNA from 1 species